AUUGAACGCUGGCGGCAGGCCUAACACAUGCAAGUCGAGCGAGCGGCGGACGGGUGAGUAAUGUCUGGGAAACUGCCCGAUGGAGGGGGAUAACUACUGGAAACGGUAGCUAAUACCGCAUACCAUCGGAUGUGCCCAGAUGGGAUUAGCUAGUAGGUGGGGUAAUGGCUCACCUAGGCGACGAUCCCUAGCUGGUCUGAGAGGAUGACCAGCCACACUGGAACUGAGACACGGUCCAGACUCCUACGGGAGGCAGCAGUGGGGAAUAUUGCACAAUGGGCGCAAGCCUGAUGCAGCCAUGCCGCGUGUGUGAAGAAGGCCCUAGGGUUGUAAAGCACUUUCAGCGGGGAGGCGUUACCGGCAGAAGAAGCACCGGCUAACUCCGUGCCAGCCGCCGCGGUAAUAC
rnacentral:rRNA from 1 species